rnacentral:rRNA from 1 species
GGCGGCGAGUGGCGAACGGGUGAGUAAUAUAUCGGAACGUACCCAAGAGUGGGGGAUAACGCAGCGAAAGUUGCGCUAAUACCGCAUACGAUCCAAGGAUGAAAGCAGGGGACCGCAAGGCCUUGUGCUCCUGGAGCGGCCGAUAUCUGAUUAGCUAGUUGGUGAGGUAAAGGCUCACCAAGGCGACGAUCAGUAGCUGGUCUGAGAGGACGACCAGCCACACUGGAACUGAGACGGGUCCAGACUCUACGGAGGCGCGUGGGGAAUUUUGGACAUGGGCGCAGCCUGAUCCAGCAAUGCCGCGUGAGUGAAGAAGGCCUUCGGGUUGUAAAGCUCUUUUGUCAGGGAAGAAACGGCUGUGGCUAAUAUCCACGGCUAAUGACGGUACCUGAAGAAUAAGCACCGGCUAACUACGUGCCAGCAGCCGCGGUAAUACGUAGGGUGCAAGCGUUAAUCGGAAUUACUGGGCGUAAAGCGUGCGCAGGCGGUUUUGUAAGUCUGACGUGAAAUCCCCGGGCUUAACCUGGGAAUUGCGUUGGAGACUGCAAGGCUAGAAUCUGGCAGAGGGGGGUAGAAUUCCACGUGUAGCAGUGAAAUGCGUAGAGAUGUGGAGGAACACCGAUGGCGAAGGCGCCCCCUGGGUCAAGAUUGGCGCUCAUGCACGAAAGCGUGGGGAGCAAACAGGAUUAGAUACCCUGGUAGUCCACGCCCUAAACGAUGUCUACUAGUUGUCGGGUCUUAAUUGACUUGGUAACGCAGCUAACGCGUGAAGUAGACCGCCUGGGGAGUACGGUCGCAAGA